GAUGAACGCUAGCGACAGGCUUAACACAUGCAAGUCGAGGGGCAGCGAGGGAGUGCUUGCACUUCUGUCGGCGACCGGCGCACGGGUGAGUAACACGUAUGCAACCUGCCCUUGUCAGGGGGAUAAGCGAGGGAAACCUCGUCUAAUACCGCAUAUAUGGUUUUGAGGCAUCUCUUAAUCAGGAAAGAAUUAUCGGACAAGGAUGGGCAUGCGGGACAUUAGGUAGUUGGGGGUGUAACGGACCACCAAGCCGACGAUGUCUAGGGGUUCUGAGAGGAAGGUCCCCCACACUGGUACUGAGACACGGACCAGACUCCUACGGGAGGCAGCAGUGAGGAAUAUUGGUCAAUGGGCGAGAGCCUGAACCAGCCAAAGUAGCGUGAAGGAAGACUGCCCUAUGGGUUGUAAAACUUCUUUUGUUCGGGAAUAAAGUGCAGUACGCGUACUGUUUUGUAUGUACCGUUCGAAUAAGCAUCGGCUAAAUUCCGUG
rnacentral:rRNA from 1 species